rnacentral:rRNA from 1 species
AGACCCGAAACCCGGUGAUCUAGCCAUGGGCAGGUUGAAGGUUGGGUAACACUAACUGGAGGACCGAACCGACUAAUGUUGAAAAAUUAGCGGAUGACCUGUGGCUGGGGGUGAAAGGCCAAUCAAACCGGGAGAUAGCUGGUUCUCCCCGAAAGCUAUUUAGGUAGCGCCUCGUGAAUUCAUCUCCGGGGGUAGAGCACUGUUUCGGCUAGGGGGCCAUCCCGGCUUACCAACCCGAUGCAAACUGCGAAUACCGGAGAAUGUUAUCACGGGAGACACACGGCGGGUGCUAACGUCCGUCGUGAAGAGGGAAACAACCCAGACCGCCAGCUAAGGUCCCAAAGUCAUGGUUAAGUGGGAAACGAUGUGGGAAGGCCCAGACAGCCAGGAUGUUGGCUUAGAAGCAGCCAUCAUUUAAAGAAAGCGUAAUAGCUCACUGGUCGAGUCGGCCUGCGCGGAAGAUGUAACGGGGCUAAACCAUGCACCGAAGCUGCGGCAGCGACGCUUAUGCGUUGUUGGGUAGGGGAGCGUUCUGUAAGCCUGUGAAGGUGGCCUGUGAGGGUUGCUGGAGGUAUCAGAAGUGCGAAUGCUGACAUAAGUAACGAUAAAGCGGGUGAAAAGCCCGCUCGCCGG